rnacentral:rRNA from 1 species
GAUGAACGCUGGCGGCGUGCCUAAUACAUGCAAGUCGAGCGAACGGACGAGAAGCUUGCUUCUCUGAUGUUAGCGGCGGACGGGUGAGUAACACGUGGAUAACCUACCUAUAAGACUGGGAUAACUUCGGGAAACCGGAGCUAAUACCGGAUAAUAUUUUGAACCGCAUGGUUCAAAAGUGAAAGACGGUCUUGCUGUCACUUAUAGAUGGAUCCGCGCUGCAUUAGCUAGUUGGUAAGGUAACGGCUUACCAAGGCAACGAUGCAUAGCCGACCUGAGAGGGUGAUCGGCCACACUGGAACUGAGACACGAUCCUGACUCCUACGGGAGGCAGCAGUAGGGAAUCUUCCGCAAUGGGCGAAAGCCUGACGGAGCAACGCCGCGUGAGUGAUGAAGGUCUUCGGAUCGUAAAACUCUGUUAUUAGUGAAGAACAUAUGUGUAAGUAACUGUGCACAUCUUGACGGUACCUAAUCAGAAAGCCACGGCUAACUACGUG